UGUAAAUAAUGGGCCAAGUUCAUUAUAGAUAGGGAUAAUUGUAAGUAGUAAGAAUGUUCAGUAAGAUCUACAAGCACAUCACAAUCACCAAAACACAAUUUUGUCACUAAUCCAUCUGUGUCCUUUGUUUAAUAUGCGCAAAGACCAAGGUGAGCGACACAGGCUCUUAUGAGCCCCUAGUUCUUUGUUUAAUGGUAAUGUCGAUCGCUCUUAGACUUAUGUGGUCAUGGUAUAUUAAUACUUUUUCUGCUCAUGAUUGAAAAUCAUCAUACCACACAGCUUACAUUUUAUAUAUACUACCGACAGGGACAUAAUCAAAUCUUAAUUCAGGUAAAAAAAAACUUGUUUAUUACACUAAUCAUAACUUCCAAACAAGCCUGCAUAUUAGCUGAAUAUAUUGAUAAUUUAUUUCACUUUGCCUGUGGAUUUUAAUGUGGAAGCCAGUGUAAUCUUGAAUGCUACAUUUCAUUUGGAAAUGCAGGUUAACAUUAGAAUGACGCGAAAUUGUUGUUACUCAAUCAAAAUAACGUAUUAUAAUUAAAUAUGCAUGUUAUGUAAUUAAUCAAAUCCUGCAGAAUGGCAUACUUCGAUGAUGAAUAAAUAAAGGCAACAGUAGUAUACCGCUGUUCAAAACUCAUAAAUCGAUAGAAAAAAAAAAAAUCGGGUUACAAACCAAAACUUAGGGAAACGUAUUAAAUGACAAAAACAACCAGGAAAAAAGGCAGCAGCAUUGGCUCUUAUCAUCUCAGAGUACAUGAUGAGCAACACUCACAUGCCUAGUAACUCCUCUUACUGGUACAAAUAGUCUUUUCGCACUUUUUAAUAUAUCACAUUUCAUUUUCCAGUGUAGGGACAAACUAGGGCGAAACAGGAAACCGAGGUCUAUGUGGAUUAGAAAAUGGCUAAAAAGGAUGAUAUGACCAAUAUAUAUAUCACUCUACUUCAGAAGUUUAAAACACCCACAGACGUCUACGAUCUCCAUUAUCAUUAAUGAUGUCUGCUACGCCACCAAAGCCGAGUUGGCUGUUUGGGUAAUCUGGUGUCCUACCGCAACGGAGAUGUGGACCGCCACUGCUGAGCAGUUUGAGUAAAUAUGGAAAUUUCCAACAUGAUGUGGUGCUCUGGAUGGCAGGUAUGUGGUGGUCACUUGCUCUAUCCGAAAUCGUGUUGCCUUCGUG
rnacentral:lncRNA from 1 species